rnacentral:lncRNA from 1 species
UUGGUGCUGUAGACGGAAGUUAUCUGCUAUAGAAGCCCGGACAAAAAUUUUCUGUUGGAAAAAUUUGGCUGGAGUCCGAUUGCUAGAGAAAUCCAUUUGAAAUUUGUCUGAUGUAGAAGCUUGUCUGAAGACUGUCCACUAAAGAGGUCCGGUUGCAUGAGAAAUCUGACAGAAGGUCGAUCGAUAGCGAAAUUCAGAAGGCAUUAUGGAGGUUCAUCUAGAAUCCA